rnacentral:rRNA from 1 species
AGGGUUUGAUUAUGGCUCAGGAUGAACGCUAGCGGCAGGCUUCAUACAUGCAAGUCGAGGGGCAGCAUAAAUUACUUGUAAUUUGAUGGCGACCGGCGAACGGGUGCGUAACGCGUAUGCAACUUACCUUUUACUAGAGAAUAGCCAAGAGAAAUUUUGAUUAAUGCUCUAUACACUUAUUAAUUCACAUGAAUCUAUAAGAAAAGCUCCGGCGGUAAAAGAUGGGCAUGCGUCCUAUUAGCUUGUAGGUGAGGUAAUGGCUCACCUAAGCUCCGAUAGGUAGGGGUCCUGAGAGGGAGAUCCCCCACACUGGUACUGAGACACGGACCAGACUUCUACGGAAGGCAGCAGUAAGGAAUAUUGGACAAUGGAGGCAACUCUGAUCCAGCCAUGCCGCGUGAAGGAAGACGGCCUUAUGGGUUGUAAACUUCUUUUAUACAGGAAGAAACCUUUCCACGUGUGGAAAGCUGACGGUACUGUAAGAAUAAGGAUCGGCUAACUCCGUGCCAGCCGCCGCGGUAAU